UACGUAGGUGGCAAGCGUUGUCCGGAUUUACUGGGCGUAAAGGGCUUGUAGGCGGUUCGUUAAGUCCGGUGUGAAAUCUCCCGGCUCAACUGGGAGGGGUCAUCGGAUACUGGCGGACUUGAGGUGGGCAGAGGAAAGCAGAAUUCCCGGUGUAGCGGUGAAAUGCGUAGAUAUCGGGAGGAAUACCAGUGGCGAAGGCGGCUUUCUGGGCCUAUCCUGACGCUGAGGAGCGAAAGCGUGGGGAGCAAACCGGAUUAGAUACCCGGGUAGUCCACGCCCUAAACGGUGGAUGCUAGGUGUAGGGGGUGUCGACCCCCUCUGUGCCGCAGCUAACGCUUUAAGCAUCCCGCCUGGGGAGUACGACCGCAAGGCUAAA
rnacentral:rRNA from 1 species